GUCGUAACAAGGUUUCCGUAGGUGAACCUGCGGAAGGAUCAUUGUCGAAUCCUGUAUAAGCAAACCGUGAACAUGUUUAAUCACAUUGGGAUUGCGGUGGGGGCAAUCCCUCGUCGCAUCCCCUCCCCGCAUGCUCUCACCAUGGUGGGCGUUGUGCGGGCUAACGAACCCCGGCGCGGAAUGCGCCAAGGAUUACUCAUGAAGCGUCCACCUCCUCGGCCCCGUUCGCGGUGAGUUUGGGGGAGAGGAUGAAUCUCCAAUGUCUAAACGACUCUCGGCAACGGAUAUCUCGGCUCUCGCAUCGAUGAAGAACGUAGCGAAAUGCGAUACUUGGUGUGAAUUGCAGAAUCCCGUGAACCAUCGAGUCUUUGAACGCAAGUUGCGCC
rnacentral:misc_RNA from 1 species